GCAACAACUUCCACCUGGCAUACCCUUCAGCUGCGUAUCAUGGUUGUAUUGCCUUGAUCGUAUUGUGGGUUUCUGUGUUGCCUACCUAAGUUAACGGUAUUGUUUGGACCCAUCAAACUUUCCAUUCGUCUUGCAACACUUGUGUUGUGGGAUGAACCUUGAAGCGGUCUCUGUGCUCCAUCUGUUGACAUGGAAGUGUCGAUGUUGUGGGUCAUUGAGCGUUGCUUGGUAUUAUGGAUACGGAAGAUGACGUGGGCACGGGGUCUCUCGGGAUCCUUCUUUCUGCCUAUUUGGAGCGUAUCAUUCUUCUAAGACGACCGUCCAGCCCGAAUUGGCUCGUACCACCGGGUGGAUAUGUGUCGAGGAAGGAUGUUAACGUUCUAGCUUCUCAAAAAAGACCGCCCAUCCCGUAUUGGCUUGUACAAGGGGGAU
rnacentral:misc_RNA from 1 species